GCUAUUUUGGCAGAAAUUAUGCAAUAAGUUUAGAGUUUAUUUAUGUAAUUAUUUUAAUUACAAAUAGUA
rnacentral:tRNA from 1 species